UAAUACGGGGGGAGCAAGCGUUGUUCGGAUUUACUGGGCGUAAAGGGCGCGUAGGCGGCGCAACAAGUCACUUGUGAAAUCUCUCGGCUUAACCGAGAGCGGCCAAGUGAUACUGUCGUGCUAGAGUGCGGAAGGGGCAACUGGAAUUCUCGGUGUAGCGGUGAAAUGCGUAGAUAUCGAGAGGAACACCUGCGGCGAAGGCGGGUUGCUGGGCCGACACUGACGCUGAGGCGCGAAAGCUAGGGGAGCGAACGGGAUUAGAUACCCCGGUAGUCCUAGCCUUAAACGAUGAAUGCUUGGUGUCCGGAGUUUUAUAGUCUCCGGGUGCCGUCGCUAACGCUUUUAGCAUUCCGCCUGGGGAGUACGCACGCAAGUGU
rnacentral:rRNA from 1 species